UACGCGGUCGCCUCCAGUGGGGGUGUCGUGGCGCAAAAGCGUCAGAGGGGGGGAGCCUUUGCAGACGGGCGAGCGAGCGAGCGAAUGGGUCGUUCGAAAGGGGUGGAAGGGGGCGGGGCAGGGGAGAGGAGGACCGCCACCGCUGCGCUAGUGCUGUGCCUCUGAAAGACCGUGGGGAGGGGCGGCUAGUGGCAGCGAGGUGCGCGGGACGCCGGUCGGUCUAUUUUCGGACCCCCGCCCCUCUGAGCAUCGGGGAACGACUCGGCCCCCAACGCUCAGCGCCUCUACUUCUUGGACAAGUUCUCGUUCUAGUUCACCGUCGUGGCCAGGUUGCUGGGGCGGAGGAGCAGCGUCGGCGUCAGCAGCAGCUGGAGCGGCCGCUCGAGGGGCAGCCCAUGCCGCGGCCGCGGGCGCGACAGGAGGCGGCGCCGCUACGGCUGCCGGAGGCGGGGCGGGGGAAGGCGGGGCCACCGCUGCUGCGGGUGCCGCCCCCAACCACCCCCUCCCCCUCCGCCUCGCCCACCCCUGCUGAUGUACAUGAGCCUCCUCCUCAAGGUCUACGUCGACCGGUACCGCGACAGCCGCAGGUUGUCGCUGACGCGCCCCCUGGCCCUGUCCCUGGUCUAGUCCCUGCGGUUCGAGUACUCGGAGCCGCCCCCCCUGGCGAAGCGGCGGCCGGCCCUGCUGCCGGUGUGGCGGCUGAGAGAGAGGGCGGCGAUGACCCUGAUGUUGACGGAGCUAAUAGUACUCUUUCAACAGCUACCAAAGAUGCUGUAUAAACUGGGGAGGUACCUCAGGAGAUCCGUCCCCUUCUACGGUAGUGAUCUUCUGGAAGUUUGUCCGUAGCCCCUGGACCCGAAACUCCAGUAGCAUUAGUUGGCACGUCAACUAUGACGGAACGUCCUCUACCUCGUUCACCGCGUUACGUAGAACAACCUAAAGGGACAACGUUUAUAAUGUGAGGAUCAUGUUUCCUAUCGACUAGAACAAUGUCUAUUAGAUCCACCUGGACACUUUCUACGUUUACGAUACGAACGUUCCACCAGCCUCUGUUCAUGAGUCGACUCUUGGAGUGAUGUAUGAUCGAACGACGGUUAACCGACGUAAUUUAAUCCCAACAGAGCAGUGGCACGGGAUGAAAAGUUCUAAGAACGACUAUCACAACCGUAAGGUACGUUUGAACAGUUUCCCUCAUUAAUGUGACCACUACUCCUACUACGACAAUUGUAUUAUUUCCACCUGUUUCUUUCCCUCAAAAACCAUCUAGACUACCGACGAGGACCACGAGAAUAAGGUCGUCUACAGAAUUCAACCUUCCCGUCAAGCAGUUUAAGAUUGGUAUUUGAACCGGUCUUUGGACCUGACUUAGUUUACCGACCCAGUAGUUCAUGGUAAAUAGGAUGAGACCCACGGUUACGUAACGGUGAACUUGUAUUUCCAUUGGUUGAUGGAAACAAUUUGUCACCACUAACCUAUAGCCGGUCAGUUAGACCUAUGCUCUUUCUCCGCCGGUAUUGUGUGAGUGUUUGGAGAAGGUCACCAUGUGGUAGACAAUGACGACGUCUACAAAAACUACCAAGAACCUGUAAUCAAGGAGUAUGCGUUAGCCUGCUCGGCAGCUGAAGACGACCAUGUAGCAGUGUCGUAUUUCAACAUGGGGGUCCACCUCUUGUAGGACCCCGGCCCUUAUAUUUUGAUUCGGGUCCAGUGGUCCUUUUAUGUCUCAGGUCAUUGGAUAAACGACUCGAAUUAGGAAAACCCGCAUAACUCGGUUUCUUUCGAAGUCAUGGUAAGUUACCCGGUCUAUUAUCUUUGUUGCUCAAUGUUUCCGCAUCUCUUUUACAUCAGGGAUCGUGACCUUCCGGUGUCGUUUCUAACCAAUACUUUUUGACCAGGGGAAUGUUACUACAAAGGUUGUUGUUCGUCAUGUUGAUACAAGUCCUGAGUAAACGUGCAUCUUUACAACCACUAUUACAACAUAGUAGCGGCGUCCACGGUGCUAGACGACGUUUAUUAUAAUUAGAAUUAUAACCUCGUGCGUUACUACCUAGUGGUCACAGUCGAGUGUUAUUACUGUCAAAAUACCGACCAAGGAGACGGUACUUCUACGGAAGACAUCGACUAUAACCCUUCCGGCGACUUUACCGAUACGCACCACUAAACUCGUUUCCAUGAUGUCCAAGAUCUGACCUCCUAGUUGGUGGUAAACCUUCUGUGUUUACCCCACUAAGAUGACUUGCUUCCCAAGGCUGAUUAAGUCAAGUCUUGGUUCGUUUUCUUGCACUUUGAUUGAAGCUGCCUUUCGUUCUGGUAUUCUUCAACGGAGGACUAGGUUUCUUUAGAGGUGAACUGUCUAAGUACCUGCACAGCUACGGUAGUUCUUUAAGUCUUAGACAAAGUGGUAGGAGACGGUCCAGUGUGUCCGAACUAACGCACAAGCUACUACAAAGACUCACACUUUAAGAGACCCUUCUAGAACACUAACCACUUGCCUAACCGAAUCCAAGUAUACCACUCCAUAUGGCACGACUAACCUUACCUUGUCUUCAUCGACACUUCUUUAAGAACCUAGUUCUAAAGAUACCGCUACGAAACCUACUUAAAGCUUCACUUCACGCCUAAUACGCAGCUGACGCAGUAGGUUUAUAGCAAGAGAAAUACCCACGACAAUGUGCGGGAGGUUUGAAUAGAUAACAUAGACUCAUAGAAGGUUCCCCUUCAAAUAUAUUCUAGGAAGUGGCAGGACCGACGGUUUAACUGCUCUUCGCCUCCUAAUUCUACCGGUAACUACACCGGUUCCCGUACUUAACGGACGUGUGAUCACAUGGUUGUUAACAAGUGGCCCUAGAAUUUAGUGGAUUGAACGACCAGCUGUUAUUAACCUUACAGUUCCAAACACUAAAACCAGAAAGUGCGAACUUCGUGUCGUGUAAAAAUAGUAGGUUUAGUUGACGACCUUGAGGACUCACCUACCGUGGACUCCAGAACGCCUUACUCGUCAGUUUACUUUUCACGCUACAGAUGUCGAAACCGCAGUAGAACACCCUCGACCGUUGUGAUUCUUACGGCACCCCACCCUACUUGGGCUACGUUCAGCACCCUCGCCAACCGAAGGUCCUAGCUUCCGAACUAUAGGGGUUCCUUUAACUAGGAGAUCAGCGAUCCUAGUAUACCCUCACGACCGUCUUCCUAGGCUUAGACGCGGGAAGCAAACGCGUCAAUUGUUGACGAGACUUCUGCCAUGUUUCCGAACAGUCGGGAAGAGGCCUCUGCGUCUCGGGGGGACACGGGGUUCUCUAGACCCACUUGAGGAGAUGGGGUACUGUCUCCUCUCAAUAGCUCCUUAAGCAAGCAACGACGCCGGACGUUUACACUCGCGCAACACAUAUCAAACUCGCGAGGUCGGGUCUACACCAUCUGUACAGGACGACGGCACCGUUGCGAGGUCACCGUCGGUAUAUCAUGUGGACAAGACAAGUACAACGACAGAGCCCGACAGCGGGUGGCCGUGACUGACAAUAUCUAGGCAAUUGAACACGUCAGGACUUAUUGUCCUCUGUGGUGGUACGUACAACCUGCUUCGGCUAGCUGCAGUGGCGGAACUCGUUUUUUGGAGAACGUC
rnacentral:rRNA from 1 species